GACGUAGGGGGCAAGCGUUGUUCGGAAUUAUUGGGCGUAAAGCGCUCGUAGGCGGGAUUGGAAGUCCGUGUUGAAAGACCUCGGCUCAACUGAGGGACCGGCUCGGAUACUCUAAUUCUUGAGGCAAUCAGAGGAUGAUGGAAUUCCUGGUGUAGCGGUGAAAUGCGUAGAUAUCAGGAGGAACACCUGCGGUGUAGACGGCUUACUGGACCAUCACUGACGCUGAGGCACGAAAGCGUGGGUAGCAAACAGG
rnacentral:rRNA from 1 species